UACGUAGGGUGCAAGCGUUGUCCGGAGUUACUGGGCGUAAAGGGCGCGUAGGCGGCGCACCAAGUCAGGCGUGAAAGCCCUGGGCUCAACCCGGGAAUUGCGCUUGAGACUGGUGUGCUUGAGUACGGGAGAGGAUAGUGGAAUUCCCAGUGUAGAGGUGAAAUUCGUAGAUAUUGGGAAGAACACCGGUGGCGAAGGCGGCUAUCUGGACCGUAACUGACGCUGAGGCGCGAAAGCGUGGGGAGCGAACAGG
rnacentral:rRNA from 1 species